GCUGGGCCCUGAAUAGCACAGAGCUCUGGUGGUGAGGGAGAGUAACUUGUCUUGGCAGGAUGGGGAGAGAGAAUGACGCACAUCACAGCGAGUGGAAAUCUGAGAAACGACGGAAGACCCAUCCUGCAGGCUGGGGUGGCCAAGGUGAACCAGCAAAGGUGACUUGCCACAUGGGUCCAAGAGGCUGGCAUGGCUCCACGUUGGACACCAAAGACUUCGGUUGAGAAACCAUCCCACCCUGCCUCUGCACCCAAGGGCUCUGGGCGGGGUCAGCCAUGUGACCUGGGUCUAAGCCAAUCAGAGCAUCUCACAGCAUCACCACAGUGACUGAGCGCUGGACCCCGUGGGACUCUCUCCUGCUGCUCGUGAACCUGAGAGAACAUGAGGCUGGAGCUGUUGCAGAUCCUGAGGGGAGGGACUGCCUGCGAGGGUGCCAACUUAGGGGACACUGAGUCAACAACUGGACAAGGAGCAACCAGCUUCUGUUGGCAUCACGUGACCCCAUGCGGAAAGCCUGCCUGAAACUGGCCCCGUCUCUAGACUUCUCCA
rnacentral:lncRNA from 1 species